ACUCCAUCGCCGCCUCGCAGGCCGCGCCCAGGCCGGAGGGGGCCGCGGCCACCCCAGAGGGACGCGGAGACGGGCGGGCGAGGCGGGCACGAGGGCGCGGGCACGGCGGCGACGGGAGGAGCGCGGGCACGGCUGAAGGGGAAAAAAAAAAAGAGGUGGCGAGGAAUGGGGGAAUUGCGCAUGCGCGGCCCUUCUCCCGGGAAGGGGCGGGGCGCGGAGCUCGGGCGCGCGCCGAGCGACGUCACUGGGCGCACCAGACUUGAAGGGGGAGCGGCGGCGGCGGCGUCGCUUCGCGAGCGUCUCUCGCCUCGGGGCGCAUGCGCCCAGAACACUUUUUUUUUUUUGGCUUCCCCCCCCUCCUCCCCGUAUUUGCCCUUCUUCCUCGCAACCGUCUCCAAGGGAAUAAGGCGAAACCCGCCAGAGAGGGCGUGGACGGAGGCGGAGCCUUCUGGAAGCCCGGCCAAUGAGAGCCCCGAGGGGUAUUUUUGAUUGACGUGCAGGCCUGUACCACAACUCCCAUCCUUGUGGCGAUGGAUGGAUUGCGUGAUAAACUCUCGUAGCCAUUAUGUGUGGUGGAGGGUGAGAUCCAGCAGACAGAUGCAUCUCCCACGUUGCCAAGUUUAGAUCAGCCCCAGUUGGAGGAAAGAAAAAAAGAAAGGGACGAUUGAGAUCAUGAUGAUUUUGGGAAGUUGACGAGAUCCUGAAAAACCGAAGGAAAAGCAAAAUCGAAAAAGGGAAGAGGAGGAAAAGCAAAGGACAGCACAGAUGAACGAGUCUCAAGCCUAAGAUUAAGUUUAUUUGUCGGAAUCGAAGCGGAACCUUUUACGCCCCGGGCGCGGUUUCCCGGCGGGACGCCUUAAAAGCGACGGACCGACGGCCGCUGGGGGGCGCCUUUCGCCGUGGCACCGCAGCCGUUACGGGGCGGGAGGACCCCGCGCGGGCUGCGGAGCCUCGGCAAUCAUGUUCGCCGGCUUGCAAGAGCUCGGCGUGGCCAACGGGGAGGAUUUGAAGGAGACGCUGACCAAUUGCAUGGAGCCCCUGAAGGCCAUCGAGCAG